rnacentral:tRNA from 1 species
GUCGGAGUGGCGGAAUUGGCAGACGCGCACGGUUGAGGGCCGUGUGGGUAACUCCAUGCGGGUUCAAGUCCCGCCUCCGACACCA